UCCAUUUUGAAUCGACGGAGCAGAAGGAGGGAAGCUGAAGUCUGAGGCAGGGGAGCGUUAAAACAACAUUACUCUUAUUUUACUGUCAAAGUGUCAGAGUCAGUUUUCUCUCUGUGGCGGGAAGAAGAGUCAGAAUGAACUUUUGUCCAGACAAAGACACUGAGGAAAGCAGGAAAUAACAUGAGGUGGUACUUCCUGUUCUCUCCGUCAGAAUCAACCGUUUGAUUCGUCUGUGACACGACGUUGAAUAUUCACAAUGGACCUACAACUAACCCAAGAACACUGACCAGACUGACUGAAGUCCAGAAGAUGAGUGAUGUGGAGGAAGAGGAGGACAGAGCAGAGUCUCCAGUCCCCAGCUGUCUGUCUAUGAAGAGUGACCGGUCCAAAGAUAAUCCUCUAAACUUCAGUAAUGAACCUGGACCUUCACACACACAAGGUGAGUCCUACAGACGGAGAGCAGAGUCUCCAGUCCCCAGCUGUCUGUCUAUGAAGAGUGACUGGUCCAAAGAUGAACCUCUGUUCUUCAGUAAUGAA